UGGGGAAUAUUGCACAAUGGGGGAAACCCUGAUGCAGCGACGCCGCGUGGGUGAAGAAGUAUUUCGGUAUGUAAAGCCCUAUCAGCAGGGAAGAAAAAUGACGGUACCUGACUAAGAAGCACCGGCUAAAUACGUGCCAGCAGCCGCGGUAAUACGUAUGGUGCAAGCGUUAUCCGGAUUUACUGGGUGUAAAGGGAGCGCAGGCGGCACGCUAAGCCUGAUGUGAAAACCCGCGGCCCAACCGCGGGAGUGCAUUGGGAACUGGCGGGCUGGAGUACCGGAGGGGCAGGCGGAAUUCCUAGUGUAGCGGUGAAAUGCGUAGAUAUUAGGAGGAACACCAGUGGCGAAGGCGGCCUGCUGGACGGAGACUGACGCUGAGGCUCGAAAGCGUGGGGAGCAAACAGG
rnacentral:rRNA from 1 species